GAUGAACGCUGACGGCGUGCCUAAUACAUGCAAGUCGAGCGAACGGACGAGAAGCUUGCUUCUCUGAUGUUAGCGGCGGACGGGUGAGUAACACGUGGAUAACCUACCUAUAAGACUGGGAUAACUUCGGGAAACCGGAGCUAAUACCGGAUAAUAUUUUGAACCGCAUGGUUCAAAAGUGAAAGACGGUCUUGCUGUCACUUAUAGAUGGAUCCGCGCUGCAUUAGCUAGUUGGUAAGGUAACGGCUUACCAAGGCAACGAUGCAUAGCCGACCUGAGAGGGUGAUCGGCCACACUGGAACUGAGACACGGUCCAGACUCCUACGGGAGGCAGCAGUAGGGAAUCUUCCGCAAUGGGCGAAAGCCUGACGUAGCAACGCCGCGUGAGUGAUGAAGGUCUUCGGAUCGUAAAACUCUGUUAUUAGGGAAGAACAUAUGUGUAAGUAACUGUGCACAUCUUGACGGUACCUAAUCAGAAAGCCACGGCUAACUACGUG
rnacentral:rRNA from 1 species